CUAUACAUGCAGUCGAGCGAGCCGAACUAAUUGAUUACCUUCGGGUAUGAAGUUAGGGAAGCGAGCGGCGGAUGGGUAAGUAACACGUGGGUAACCUACCCUAUAGUCUGGGAUACCACUUGGAAACAGGUGCUAAUACCGGAUAAAAGGAGAGAUCACAUGAUUUCUUUUUGAAAGGCGGCGUAAGCUGUCGCUAAAGGAUGGACCCGCGGUGCAUUAGCUAGUUGGUAAGGUAACGGCUUACCAAGGCAACGAUGCAUAGCCGAGUUGAGAGACUGAUCGGCCACAUUGGGACUGAGACACGGCCCAAACUCCUACGGGAGGCAGCAGUAGGGAAUCUUCCACAAUGGACGCAAGUCUGAUGGAGCAACGCCGCGUGAGUGAAGAAGGUUUUCGGAUCGUAAAGCUCUGUUGUUGGUGAAGAAAGAUAGUGAGAGUAACUGCUCAUUAUUUGCCGGUAAUCAACCAGAAAGUCACGGCUAACUACGUGCCAGCAGCCGCGGUAAUAUGUAGGUGGCAAGCGUUGUCCGGAUUUAUUGGGCGUAAAGCGAGCGCAGGCGGAAAGAUAAGUCAGAUGUGAAAGCCCUCGGCUUAACCGAGGAAUAGCAUCGGAAACUGUCUUUCUUGAGUGCAGAAGAGGAGAGUGGAAUUCCAUGUGUAGCGGUGGAAUGCGUAGAUAUAUGGAAGAACACCAGUGGCGAAGGCGGCUCUCUGGUCUGUAACUGACGCUGAGGC
rnacentral:rRNA from 1 species